rnacentral:rRNA from 1 species
CCGAUGACUCGGGGAUAGCCUUUCGAAAGAAAGAUUAAUACCCGAUGGCAUAGUUCUUCCGCAUGGUGGAACUAUUAAAGAAUUUCGGUCAUCGAUGGGGAUGCGUUCCAUUAGGUUGUUGGCGGGGUAACGGCCCACCAAGCCUUCGAUGGAUAGGGGUUCUGAGAGGAAGGUCCCCCACAUUGGAACUGAGACACGGUCCAAACUCCUACGGGAGGCAGCAUG